AAUUUCACACCUGGAUGUGCUCACUCAACCAAGAAUAUAGAGAAAGAGCUUCUGUCCUGAGACUCAGAAAAAUAUUCUCCUCUGCUUCGGUGCAGAAUAGAUUUCUAGACUCUGAUCAUUACUCAAGAAGUAUUCACUGGGG
rfam:Cavia porcellus strain inbred line 2N cont2.16915, whole genome shotgun sequence.